rnacentral:rRNA from 1 species
GUCUACAACCAUACCACCCUGAAUGCGCCCAAUCUCAUCUGAUCUCAGAAGCUAAGUAGGGUAGGACCUGGUUAGUCCUUGGAUGGGAGACCACCUAGGAAUACUACGUGCUGUAGGCU